AACCAAUGAUGUCACGAUUCUGCCAAAUGAAUCCGAUGAUUAUACCCAUAACCGUUCCAUUUAUAUCUGAGGUU